rnacentral:lncRNA from 1 species
UAAGUUCUCGUAUGGUUGGCCUGAGCUAUUAGAACUAAGAGAACAAAUUCCGUUGCAAUGUGGAGUAAAGGGUGUGUGCAAAGUUGGAUUUCUUCGUAGUAGGCAUGUUUUAAUUAGAAUGGAAUUAAAAGAGGAUUUCAUUAAUAUACUGUCUGAGUGCUUAUUACAUCAAUGCAAAGGAUGAAAAUUCGUAUCAAAUGCGUCCUUGAUAUAUGAUACUAAUUUUAAGCCUGAUGAAGAGACCACACAAAAAGUAGCAUGAAUAUCGUUUCCUGAUCUGUUGCCCACCUUUUUUGUUAAGGAAUCUUUGUUCUCAUUAGUUUCUGCUGUUGGUAAGCUCCUGCAUUUAGAUAUGGCAACAAUUAAUAAGACUCGUUCAAGUUGUGCUAGAGUGAAAGUUCCACUAGAUUUACCGGCGAAAAGACAUCAGCAUGUGAUGAUGGAAAUAGAGAAUGAGGCUACUAAAGAAGUGAGAAAAAUAAAAGUGAAGAUUAAGUAUGACAUGAUUCCUUACUAUUGCAAAAAGUGUAAACUACAGGGUCAUGAAGAACAUGUAUGCAGAGUNNNNNNNNNNNNNNNNNNNNNNNNNNNNNNNNNNCAAGGCAGUUCGCUGGAGUAGAUAUAGGAUAAAAAUCAUCAUGUUUGGAAGGAUGGGAAAGGAUAUAGAAAGUGGCAUCCAACUAAUAGGAGCUUUGUUAAAAAUAAGGAUUCAGAGUAUGUUUUGAAUGAGAACAACAACAAAACUUGUGAAAUUACUUCUAUUAAUCCUUUUUAAGUACUAAAGGAGGAAAUACAUGAUGAAGGGAUGGAGAAUAAAGAUGAAGAAAAAAAAGAAAAGGUUAUUAAUACAAAGGAAUGGGUUGAAAAUACUUUUACCUCAGCAGAAAACCAGGUGGAAAAACCUAAAACAAAUCAGAUAAACAGCACACCAGAGAAACAAGGCAGUGGUAAAGGUGAUAAGAAACAAGGGGAAAAUAGCUCAAAUAACCAAGAAAGAAGCAAUAAAGGGGAGAGCAGCUCAAAAUGGGGAGAUAGAUUUGAUGAAGAUUAUUUGCAAGAGGAGAAAGAAAGUAACACCUCAGCAGAGCAGCAGAAAGCUUUGGUUUGUCACGGCUCUUUAAAUGCUAGUCCACUAGCAGUUUUGGCAGCAAAAAGUAAUGAGGAGGAUCAAUAUUUUGCUACAAGACAUGAAAAUCUUACCAGAUGAUGGGUGGAUGUACCCAUAUUGGAUUUAGGAAAGCAGAACUUAAUAGAGAGGGAAUCACCUGCAGAAAGAAAGAGUCCAAUAAAAAUAUUGCAUGAUAUAAUAUCUCAUCAAUCAGAGAGCAAUACUACAAUAUCAAAGGAGUCAAAAAUUAAUACCACAGAAGAAGGGGAAGGUGGGGAUGAUAAUGAAAUAGAUUAUGUCAGUAGACAAGCUGAUAUAUCACCAAAAGUAGUAAAGAAGAGCAUCAAGAAAGGAAAAAGGCUAGUUACUGAUCAAUUACCUAAAAGGGUAAUACCAAAGACAAAUAUGGUGAAUAAUAAAUUAAAUAAAUCAGGAUGAAAGCAAUUUUUUUGGAACAUUUGGUAUGUUAAUACCCAAUAAGAUUUUAAUAGACUGCAAAUGCUUAAUAGGCAUCACAAAUUUUUCUAAAUAGCUCUUAUGGAGCCUUUUCAAGAUGUGGGGCAGAUUCAAAUAUAUAGAAGAAAACUGAAAAUGCAUAGUGCUCGAGCCAAUAUUUCUGGAAAUAUUUGAAUUUUUGAGAGAUGAUGUUGAGGUGGAAAUUAUAAGUGAUUCAGAGCAGAAAAUUUCCAUUAAAAUAUUGAUGCUAGAAGAUCGGAAGUAUAUGAUGAUUUCUAUGGUUUAUACAAAGUGUACAGAAGCAGAAAGAAUUCCUUUAUGGAAUAAUAUAUAUCAGAUGGCUGUUGAUAGGUGGGGAUUUUAACUCUUUGAUUAAUGACGAAGAAAAAAUAGGGGGUAAACCAGUUUUAUUACAAGAAGUGGAGGAUUUUGCUUUUUAUGUGAAUUCUUAUGAACUAGAAGAAAUAUCAUUCGAAGAGAGUCCCUUUACUUGGUGGAAUGGUAGGGCUGGUAGUGAAUGUAUUUUUGAAUGGUUGGAUAGGCAAUUUUCCAAUGUUGAGUUCCAAAAUUGGUUUUCAAUAUUGGAAGUGGAGCACUUGCCUAGAACAGGCUCAGAUCAUGUACCCUUGUUACUUAGAUUACAGAAAGGGUCACAUCAAUCUAUAAAACCUUUCAAAUUUCUGAAUUUCUGGGUGGAACAGAACUCUUUUAAAGAUGUUGUAAGGCAGAAUUAGAAGAGAGAUGAAAUGGGCAACAGUUUCUGGGUCUUUAAGCACAAGUUGAAAAUGUGAAAAGAGCUUUGUGCAAAUGGAGUAGGGACAGGUUUGGUGAUAUUUUUCAGCAACAACCAAUUAGGGAAGAGAGUAAAAAUUAAAGAGAAACUUUUUUAGGAGCAUCUAUCUCUACAGAAAAGAAGUGUUCUUCAACAAGCUCUUGCUGAAGUUAAAAGGUACAUUCAUUUAGAGGAACAAUUCUGGAGGCAGAAAUCUGGUAUAACCUAGUUUGAGAAGUGGGACAGAAACACAAGAUUCUUUCAUAGUCUUGUGAAAGGAAGAAGGAAGAAAUUACAGAUUAACAGGAUUAUUGAUGAACAGGUGAGUCACCGGAGAAUAAUAAUUAACAGGAUUAUUGAUGAACAGGUGAGUCACUGGAGAAUAAUAAUUUGAUUGGGGAAGCAGUAAUCAGAUGUUUCAAAGAAAAGUUUACCCAAAAAAAAAAAGGUACAAAUUUUGAUCUUCUGAAACAUAUUCCAGAAAUGGUGACUGAGGAAGAUAAUGUCAUGUUGAGUGCAGCUCCUACAAUAGAGAAAGUUAAACAUGUAUUUUUUUCACUAAAAGGCAGUAGUACUUGUGGUCCAGAUGGUUUUUCAAGCCUUUUCUAUCAAUAUUGUUGGGAGAAAAUGGGAGAAGAUGUUCUUAAUAUGGUAAAUAGUUUUUGUGCAGGUAAUACUCUUUCUAAAAGUAUUACUCACACAAAUUUGGUGCUUAUCCCAAAAAAUUAGAUUGUGGAAAGUUUUUGAGAUCUCAAAUGUAUUAGCCUCAGCAAUUUCAUAAACAAGGUAAUUUCUAGAGUUAUUCAUGACAGACUAAAAAAGGUGCUUCCAUAACUGAUCUCCAAAAAUUAGUUUGAUUUUGUUAAAGGUAAAAGCAUUAUUAAAAUUGUCCUUUUAACUCAAGAGAUAGUAUUUGAUAUCAGGCUGAAAGGUAAACCAGCAAAUGUAGUCUUGAAGAUGGAUAUGUCAAAGGCAUAUGAUAGGAAACCAUGAUUGUAUUUGCCAAAGGUGAUGAGAAAGAUGGGUUUUGGAGAAACUUUUAUUGACAUCUGGAGGUUGGUGGCUAAUAAUUGAUGCUCUAUUAUAAUUAAUGGUCAAUCUCAGGGAUUUUUUCAUUCUACAAGAGGUUUGAAAUAGGGCGACCUCUAUCACCUACUUUAUUUACCCCGACAGCAGAAGUUUUAUCAAGAGUCCUUAAUGCCUUAUUUAAAGAUGGUAUGUAUAAGGGUUACGGGUUGCCUAAAUAAAGUAGGAACAUAAAUCAUUGGGCUUAUGUAGAUGAUACAGUAAUCUUUAACUCGGCAGACAGAAGUCCUUUAGAGUUCGUGAUGAAGGUGAAGGAAUAUCAAAUGUCUGGUCAGCUCAUAAAUGAAAAUAAAAGUUCCUUCUAUAUGUAUAAAAAAAUGGCAAUCACUAUGAUGGAUGAAGUCAAUAGAAUAACAGGUUUUGUACAGGGACAAUUUCCUUUUCAGUAUUUGGGUUGUUCUAUUACCCAUGCAAAGAAAAGGAUAGAGCAUUACAAUGAACUUAUCAAGAAGGUGAAAGGCAGACUUCAAAACUAGAAAGGUAAUCUUCUUUCCUUUGGUGGUAAAGCUAUUUUAGUCAGCAGUGUUCAGCAGAGUAUUCCUUUAUAUUUAUUGUCUGUUAUGGUGCCCUCAAAGUUCAUUAUAUAUGAACUUCAUAAGAUCUUUAACAGAUUUUUAUGGAGCACAAAGAGGAAGGUAAAAGUAAACACUGGAUGACAUGGGAUAAAAUGUGUUACCCACAGGCAGAGGAAAGUGUGGGGCUUAGGGACCUUUUUGAUAUUUACAAGGCGAUGUUUGCAAAAUUAUGGUGGAUCUUUAGAACCACCAGAUCUUUGUGGACUGACUUUAUGUUGAAAAUGUAUUUUAAGAAACUUAUUCCAACAGUAGUGCAACGGAAGGGUGGAUCUCAAAUUUGGAAGAAAAUGUUAGAAGCUAGAGAUGUUAUUGAACAAGAAAUAUGGUGGAGCCAACGGUGGAUUCAUCUAAUAUAAUGGUUUUAAAACGGGUCCAGAUUAGGGGCUAUUAUGUAGUUGACCUUGAUUUUCCAAUUAAUGGAGAUAAAGGUGACAUUGAAAAAAUGAUGAAUGAAUGUAGAUGGGACAUUCAGAAAAUGUAGUGAUUACUGUCAUCUGAUAUUAUCCAGCAUAUUAUGAAGAACAUUACUAUUAGUCAAAAUGCGUCAUUAUGGGACUUACCAUGGUGAAUGCCAACCACGAAUGGUAAGUUCACAGUCUCAAGUGCAUAUCUGCUGCUUAGGCAUAGGAAAGAUAUGGAGGAGCAGUGAAAACACAAAUGGUGUAAGGGAAUACCAUACAAGAUUAAUUUCUUUUCAUAGAGGUUAUGGAAUUUUAAAAUUUUUGUAGAUGAUAUCUUGCAGAGGUGUGGUAUUAACAUGGUUUUAAGGUGUAGGUGUUGUCUAUAACUACACUUAGAAACUGUACAUCAUCUAUUCAUAUCAAACAAUUUUGCUUCUAGAGCGUGAAAUUACUAUGCUGUAAGUUUAUGUGUUGAAGGUCCAUUUAUACAGUGUCAUCAGACCUUGAAUAAGUGGUGGAAUUCAUAUUUUGAUGAAAGGGUUAAACCUAUUGUUGUAGUUGUGCCAGGAUUGGUAUGCUGGCAGUUAUGGAAAAGAAGAAAUAAAGUGAAUCAUGGAGGUUAAAUGUCACUGCAUAGGAAUGUUACUGCAUAGGGUUAUUCAUGAGAUAGAUGGAAAUGAAUGUUCCUAACAGGUGGACUCUUUUAGGUUAUUUUUUGUAGAAUUAUAGGGUACAAUUCAGAACAGUGGUGGUUAAAUGGACAAAACCAGAACAAGGGUGGUAUAAGUGCAAUUCAGAUGGCAUUUUUAAAGGAAAUUUUGGAGCAAGUUCAAUUGCAUUCUAUAUAAGAAGUGAUGAGGGAGACUUGAUCUAUGCCUCAUGUAAACAAUUGUUGGAUAGUAUUAGUAUUUAUGCUGAGGCAUUGGUUAUGAAGGAAGGAUGUUUAUAUUAUGUGUAGCACAUUAGUUUCUACCUCUAGUUCUUUAAACUGACCCACUAGCCUUGAAUAAUAUGGUCAAAGGUGAAUGGGAUGCUCCUUGGACUAUAAGGGGAAUCAUAAGAAAUAUUAGGAAGAUGAUGAAGAGGGGACAGAUAAGAGUACAACACAUAUACAAAGAAAGAAAUUCUCUGGUAGAUUUUUUAGCUAAGUAGCAUUUUAGUUUUGCAGGUACAAAAAGUUUUAACACUAUCAUGGGUACGAGCAAUUAUAAUGCAGGAAAAACAACUUUUGCCAUAGUUAAGGAUAAGAAAAGUUAAGCAGCAGGCAUCAGAUUAAACCAGAAACAGCAGAGGCAUAUUCUUACUCCCAAAAAAAACAAAAAACAAAUACAUAGGGGAGGCACAAACUCACCACAAAAUGUAGAUAAAGUCAGGUUCAAGAUUAUUAGACACAAAUGGCAACAUCUUCAACAAUACAAAUUAUAGGAUUACUAGAUAAUUAGUUUUCCUUAAUCUAAUGCGAAGGUGGUAUUAAUCUCUUCGAUGUUUAACCCUUUGUAAAGGAGCAAGCAAAACUAAGUACUAGAAAUCUUCAGUUUAGCCGAAUAAUCAGAUCUGAAGCUUGCAUGAACUAAUUAUAGCAAAGUUACUUGGAAUCCUAUUCCAGUGGAAUCGAUUACACGGUACCUGGUGAGAGAUUCCGAUGACUUGAAGUGUAAUCGAUCCAAAGUUACUUAGAAGCUAUAUAUGAGUUUAGUAAGAUGAGAUUUGAGCUUGUUUUAAAAGAGGUAUAGGCAUACCUUUGGAGCCAUUUUUGGGGAGACCAUUAAUAGAAAAAUUAUGUACUGCUUUAGUGGAUCCUUAAACAAGAACAAAAAGUUAAAAUACUUUAUUUUCGAAAUCGUAGCUAAGGAAGAAAAGAAGUUUUUGAACAAAGCUUAUCUUGAAAGGCCUAGACCAAGGGAAAUAGUACUCACCGGAGGGACCACAAAGCAACACUACCGGAGAUCAAAUUCGACUUGCGGCGUAGAAGAUGAAUAGUCACUUGGUAUUCUCGAAUUUUCUUUGUUUCCUAAUAUGCUUUUAGGCUCUUUCCAGGUUUUUAUCUAUUUGGACAUAUUGACUUUAUUUAGCCUUUAUUUAGACCAGGUCACUUUUGGGUCCGGUCACGUAAAGAUUUUAUUUUUUUUGUGUCUGUUUUUAAUAAAUGGGUUGAGU